AUUAUUGCACCAGGGAGCCUGGGGCACUGGGGUGAUGUCACUGGGAAUGAUGUGUGUCAUCACCAUGGAAUCUGCUUGGAGGGGUGUGUGCCACUGCUACUCUAGGGGUACACUUGCUCAUAUCAUGAGAGCCAGCCAGUUCCCCAGGUGGAUCUCUCCAGAAGGAUGGAUGGCUUUGUCCUCAAAACAAACUGGAGUGCAACUGGCCCAUGAUUUCCCUUGGGAGGUGGCUGGGGUCCUGUGCUACCUGUUUUUUGCCAGCUGCUGAGAAAACAUUGAAUUAUGCCACUGGGAUGGACCUUGGCUUUCAAUAGUUCAUCUGCCACUUUUCUGUUGAAAAAUAUGUGCAUUGGGGGCAGGGGUGGUGGAAGGGAAAAAAAUUGAAAACCUGGAUUGGGAUAGUUUUUCUGUCAAAGGACAUUGUCUGAGAAAAGCUGGGUGGCUGAGAAGGAGAGGAAAUCCUCAGAGCUUGAGAAGGGAAAUGCAGUCUUGGGGGGAACCUGUUUCUGCCAAGGCUUUGUGUCCUUUGCCAAAUGCAGUCAUUGCCCCUUUGGCACCUCCUGAGAGCUUCAAUCACUUCUCCUUCAUAAUAAGUUUAUGUUUCUGGAGCAAAAACUUUCUGAGGACAAAGAGUGACAGCAGAUGGGGGAAAAAGUCAAGUUUCUUUCUUUGAGCUGUAAGAAAACACCUCUCCCUUUUCAUUAUGACUUCAUGAAGAAAUAUAAGCUAUAAGGAUGUGAUGGAAAUUGGCAUUUAAAAGCCCUGAAAUGGGACAUCUAAAUGAAAAGGUAUCUUUGCAGUUUCUGCCAGAGCAUUCCCUUGGUGUGUUUAUUUUCUGGUGGUGUUUGGAGUCUGAAGUUACUCUGUAUCAUGAGUGAAACCAAAACUCCCCAUGGCACUUUCUGGGAAUGUGGUGCCAUGCUGGAAAAACAUCCUUUGGCUUUUGAAAAGGCAGUAAUUUGUGCAUUCCAUUUCUUGUAAAAGUCUUUGAAAUUCCUUUUUAUGACGAAUGGUCCUCUCCUCAUUUCUGGUGUGAGGGGACUUUUUAAAUGAAUGGAUUGUUUAGAAGGGACAGAAGUAGUUCUCUUUCCUCCUGCAUUUUUGAAGCCUCUAGACCACCCAUGAUCAGCAGAGUUCAGAGGCAUCUGAUGGUUUUUCAGAACUGUUCUUUGUAUUAAUUUCUUUCUUUGCUGGCUGCUCUGAAGUAACAGACCCAACUGGACCCCUCUGAGUGUUGCUGUUUCAGGCCACAGCUCUCCUGGGUGUCCCAGCUCCCAAAGUGAUUACAGCACCAGUAAUAUAUCUGUGCAUUCCUGGCAUCUUUUAAAAGGACAGUUUAAGAGAAAAAGUUCAAGAGGGAUCAAGCAAACCAAUAGUCUCGACACAGCCUGGCACUGGUUGACCAAAGAGUGAAAACAACUCACAGCAGAAGCCAAUGAAACAAUCACCUGUGGGUAAACAAUCUCCAAACACAUUCCAGAUGAGUAAAACACAGGAGAAGCAAAUGAG